rnacentral:rRNA from 1 species
UACGUAGGGGGCGAGCGUUGUCCGGAUUUAUUGGGCGUAAAGAGCGUGUAGGCGGCUAGGAAGGUCCGCUGUGAAAACUCGGGGCUCAACCCCGAGAGGUCGGUGGAAACCAUCUGGCUAGAGUCCGGAAGAGGAGAGUGGAAUUCCUGGUGUAGCGGUGAAAUGCGCAGAUAUCAGGAGGAACACCGGUGGCGAAGGCGGGUCUCUGGGCCGAAACUGACGCUGAGGAGCGAAAGCUAGGGGAGCAAACGGG